rnacentral:rRNA from 1 species
CCUACGGGUGGCAGCAGUGAGGAAUAUUGGUCAAUGGGCGCGAGCCUGAACCAGCCACGUCGCGUGAAGGAUGACUGCCCUACGGGUUGUAAACUUCUUUUGUAAAGGAGUAAAGUGAGGCACGUGUGCCUUUUUGUAUGUACUUUAUGAAUAAGGAUCGGCUAACUCCGUGCCAUCCGCCGCGGUAAUACGGAGGAUCCGAGCGUUAUCCGGAUUUAUUGGGUUUAAAGGGAGCGUAGGUGGGUGGUUAAGUCAGUUGUGAAAGUUUGCGGCUCAACCUGAAAAUUGCAUUUGAUACUGGCAGCCUGGAGUACAGGUGAGGUAGGCGGAAUGCGUGGUGUAGCGGUGAAAUGCGUAGAUAUCAGGAAGAACACCGAUGGCGAAGGCAGCUUACUAAAAUGCAACUGACGUUGAGGCGCGAAAGUGUGGGUAGCAAACAGGAUUAGAUACCCGAGUAGUC